rnacentral:rRNA from 1 species
AUGAAGAUUGUGUUCUGGCGUUUCGCACAUAAUUGCUUGCCUUCCGGUGAACAACUUCUUCAGCGUCAGUGGCUAUUUGACUUCCUUCACGGGUCUUCUGAUCGGGAAGCCAUCGUUCUUGCGGCAACGAUAUGGCACAUAUGGGAAGCCAGAAAUGCAGCAAGAAAUGGAGCUAUUUAUCACAUCCACGUGUUUCUACUGCAAAGGUCCGUACUUAUGUUGAUACUAAUGCAUUUAUACAAUCCAAUACCUAUUAAUAGACCUGAGACUCAUGCUUCUAGCUCUUGUUGGUCCCCGCCACCGGCAGGUCCUGUUCUAGUUUCUUCUGAUGCUGCUAUUUUUGUUAAUCUCAAGAAAGCUGUUUUGGGUGUGGUGGCUCUUGAUCAUGAUGGAAUUUGCCUCGUGGCAUGUUCUGAAUAA